UACGAAGGGGGCUAGCGUUGUUCGGAUUUACUGGGCGUAAAGGCGCGUAGGCGGUCGUGACAAGUCACUUGUGAAAUCUCCGGGCUUAACUCGGAACGGUCAAGUGAUACUGUCGGACUAGAGUACAGAAGGGGGCAACUGGAAUUCUCGGUGUAGCGGUGAAAUGGCGUAGAUAGUCGAGAGGGAACACCUGCGGCGAAGGCGGGUUGCUGGGCU
rnacentral:rRNA from 1 species